rnacentral:misc_RNA from 1 species
CCGAGUUUACAACUCUCAAACCCAAUGUGAACGUUACCAAACUGUUGCCUCGGCGGGAUCUCUGCCCCGGGUGCGUCGCAGCCCCGGACCAAGGCGCCCGCCGGAGGACCAACCAAAACUCUUAUUGUAUACCCCCUCGCGGGUUUUUUUUAUAAUCUGAGCCUUCUCGGCGCCUCUCGUAGGCGUUUCGAAAAUGAAUCA